CCCUUAGAUGUUCUGGGCCGCACGCGCGCUACACUGAUGCAUUCAACGAGCCUAUCCUUGACCGACAGGUCCGGGUAAUCUUUGAAUCUGCAUCGUGACGGGGAUAGAUUAUUGCAAUUAUUAAUCUUCAACGAGGAAUGCCUAGUAGGCGCAAGUCAUCAGCUUGCGUCGAAUACGUCCCUGCCCUUUGUACACACCGCCCGUCGCUCCUACCGAUUGAGCGAUCCGGUGAAUGUUUUGGACUGGCGUCAGAAGCGGUUCGCUCCUGACACUACGAAAUUUUGUAAACCUUAUCGCUUAGAGGAAGGAAAAGUCGUAACA
rnacentral:rRNA from 1 species